GUACAGUGGAUAGAUUUGACUCCAAGUAUCUCUUAAGGGGCCACUUCCAGCCAACACCUUACUCUCACUCCAUGAAGGUUUCUCCCGAGUGUGUCCUCUGACACGUGACAAGUAAUGAUGUCCACGUACAGCUCUGUCCACAUUACCUUACAAACAAGGCUUCUCCCUAAGCAUUUCCGCUGGUGUGGCUGAUGGCUGACUUGUUGCUAAAAUCACAUCCUCACUCCUUGCACCUCUAAAGCUUUUCCCCGAGUGUAUCUUCUGGUGUAUGAUGAGCUGUGACUUUCUCCUAAAGCUUCGCCCACACUCCACGCAUGCAUAAGGCUUCUCCCCCGAGUGUAUCCUCUGAUGUAAGCUGAGAGUGGACUUGUGGCUAAAGUUUCGCCCACACUCGAUGCACGCGUAAGGUUUCUCUCCUGUGUGUGUCCUCCAGUGUCUGUUGAGGAGUAUCUUCCGGCCAAAUCCCCGCCCACAUUCCCCACACACAUAAGGCUUCUCUCCCGUGUGUGUCCUCCAGUGUCCAUUGAGGACUAUCCUCCGGCUAAAUCCCCGCCCACAUUCCCCACACACAUAAGGCUUCUCCCCUGAGUGUGUUCUCCGAUGUGAUUUGAGCGACGACUUCUGGCUAAAUCCAUGCCCACACUCCUCACACACAUGAGGUUUCACCUCUGAAUGUGUCCACUGGUGUAGGAGGAGAGUUGAUUUAGCACGAAAGCCUCGCCCACACUCUCUGCAAACAAAAGGCUUCUCAUCUGAAUGUAUCCUCUGGUGUGCGUUGAGACAUGAUCUCCUUACAAAGCCUCGGCCACAAUCCCUGCACACAUAAGGCUUAUCCCCCGUGUGAAUUCUCUGGUGCUUAAUGAGCUCUGACUUUUCACGAAAGCCUCGCCCACACACUGUGCACAUAAAUGACUUCUCCCUUGUGUGUGUCCUCUGAUGUCUGAUGAGGUAUGGCUUGCAGCUAAAGCCUCGCCCACAAUGGCUGCACACAUAAGGUUUCUCCCCCGAGUGUGUACUCAGGUGGUUGCGGAGGACUGACUCAACUAUAAAGCCUCGCCCACACUCUCCGCAGACAUAAGGCUUUUCUCCUGUGUGUGUCCUCUGGUGUAUGAUGAGCUGUGACUUCCUGCUAAAGCCUCGCCCACACUCCCUGCACACCUGUGACUGCCUUUUGUCUGAAGAUUUUUCUGCUGUGACUGCCUUCUGUCUGAACAGGUUUGACUUCUGGUUAAAAGCUAGUGCACACUCCCCAAACCUGACUGCUCCAAACCCUGGGGUUUCUGCCCUCUUGGAAAUUCUGUCUACUUCCUCAGAGCUUGCAUUCUGGGCUGGACUGAGCUGUAUCUCUAAUAUUCUGUUGCCUCCCCAAGAGCUUAUUGGUGGUCUCUGGAACAGGCUAGAGAAACCCACUAAAGCCCCCCUCUCAUUUGUACUCCAAAACAAGGGUCUGACGCCUCCUUCCACUCGUUGAUCUUCUGCUUCAGCCCCCCUGUGAUUUUUAUCAGAAGGACGUUGUGACUGUGGCUGAUCCUCUGGGCAGGGAUUUCCUGGGUGGAGUUGAUUUCCUGCAUGGAAACCUGGAAUAGGAUGAUUGUGUAGCUCAUCUUGGCUGAGGAAUUGCGGACUGCCAAAGGCCAGAGGGCAACAAGGGCAGGUAUGGACUUCUGGCUUUGAUUCUGCUGAAGAAAGAAAGUUUCCAGUC
rnacentral:lncRNA from 1 species